rnacentral:misc_RNA from 1 species
GAUGAAGAACGCAGCGAAAUGCGAUAAGUAAUGUGAAUUGCAGAAUUCAGUGAAUCAUCGAAUCUUUGAACGCACAUUGCGCCCGCCAGUAUUCUGGCGGGCAUGCCUGUUCGAGCGUCAUUACAACCCUCAGGCCCCCGGGCCUGGCGUUGGGGAUCGGCGGAAGCCCCCUGCGGGCACAACGCCGUCCCCCAAAUACAGUGGCGGUCCCGCCGCAGCUUCCAUUGCGUAGUAGCUAACACCUCGCAACUGGAGAGCGGCGCGGCCACGCCGUAAAACACCCAACUUCUGAAUGUUGACCUCGUAUCAGGUAGGAAUACCCGCUGAACUUAAGCAUAUCAAUAAGCGGAGGA